rnacentral:ribozyme from 1 species
GUGGUCUGAUGAGGCC